rnacentral:rRNA from 1 species
GACGAACGCUGGCGGCGUGCUUAACACAUGCAAGUCGAGCGGAGCGGCGAACGGGUGAGUAACGCGUGAGUAACUGCCCCCCUCUCUGGGAUAACCGUUGGAAACGGCUGCUAAUACCGGAUAGUGGGGGAUGCCUCGCGUCCUAUCAGCUUGUUUGUGGGGGAGUGGCCUACCACGGCGACGCCUGGUAGCCGGCCUGAGAGGGCGACGGGCCACAUUGGGCUGAGAUACGGCCCAAACUCAUACGGGAGGCAGCAGUGGGGAAUAUUGCACAAGGGGAGAAACACUGAUGAAGCAUCGCCGCGGGCGGGAUGACGGCCUUCGGGUUGUAACCCGCUUUGAGCCAUGACGCGGUAGUGGCAGAAGAAGCACCGGCUAAAUACGUGCCAGCAGCCGCGGUAAUAC